UUCUAGCUAUAUAACAUAAAAUCUUCUGUGCGAUCUGAAGGUGCAUGCUAGUUGAUUGGCUUAUAAAUUGGAAAUUGAAUUUAUCACAAAGGAUAGUGUUAGAAUCUUGAGUGUUGAAUGUUGAAGUGUUCUUGCUAAACUUUGAACUAGCUUCGGUUAACUAAGAGUUAGCUCAUACGGGUUAGACUCAAAAAUAGGUGAGGAGAUAGGUGUGCAAUUUAGUAUUUUGGAGAAAUCAAUGCAUCUGAAGAAACAACCGGAAGAAUAUCAAUAUAUAAAGUAUCAUGUUAACAUACUCUAAGCAAUUAGACAAUAUAUAAAGUAUCAUGUUAACAUACUCUAAGCAAUUAGACAAAUGACGAGUUAUUUGAAUUGUGCUCUUGAACCCUUUCUAUAUGAAAAAGAUGUUGGAGCAUGUCAGCCAAGCGAGCUGCACCUAUUUACAGCCAUAAAAAGCCUUUUGUAAAUUGCAAUCAUGAUUGGGAUAUGACAAAUCCAUGAAGCCAUGAGGUUGUCUUUUGUUUACUUCGCUCAUUUAGAAUGCCACAAAGAAAAGCAUUUUUUUAACUCAUAGGCCAACCAAAAGAAACACAUCGAAGAGAACAACUAAAGUUGAGCAACAUUUUAAAACACUAAUGGUCUAAUUGAAAUCAAUACCCUUUGUGAUGCUCCGAUAGUCCUAUAUUGGAUAGAAAAAAGAUUAUGUGCACGUAUAAAAAGAAUAAGCACUCUUAGUAUAAUUAUUAGGCUUAAGCAUUUUAGGCCAAUGAUUCAGGCCAACAAGUUGACAGUAUUAGUGUGUUGAAUUGUUACAUUUGGUAUUCGGUGUUGGUUGUCAGCUGGAAGUGUGGGCUGUCUCUCACAUUUUCUUGGUGAUUCUUGACCAUGUUGGAUUUGGGGUCCACUUAAACAGAACAAGUUGAUUCCAGUUCUUGUUUGAGAGUUUGAAACAUGUGUUCGCAAGUGCUUGCAUUAUGGUCAGAACUAAUCAUGAAUUCACUUGCGCCAUCACUUGUGUGAAAAUGAAGCAACAGAACCACCAUUUCAUCGCAGCUGCUAACCGAGAUAAGUUAUAAUGUCGUAAGCUUGUACUAUAGAAGCUUUUAAACAACAGUUAUCUGUAAGUGUGAUUGUACAUCAAAUAGUUAGUACAGAUGUAAUAAAGCAAUCAACAAAGUAGAACGUGGCUGUGCAGGGCCUUCUUAUUCUCUAUUAGGGAGAAAAUUCUUCACUAAAAAUAAUAUUUGGUGUAUUAUAAUGAAAUAAUUUUCUUCUCUUUGCCUGCAGUAACUACUACAAGGAAAAGUGACUUACAGAGCUUCCUCAAAAUAAAGGUAACAUUAGUUGCGUAGCAUGGGGUACUUACAUCUUGCUCUAAACAGAUGAUUAUUCUAUUUGAUCUUCUUUCGGAAUAACUAGUAAGUUUGACUGCGCUGUUCCGUGAUAUUUAUCAUCCAUAUAUAUGUACACACUUAACGAGCACUUACUUCGUCAGAUCCCAAAUUACUUGAACCAUUUUAGUUUAUGAUCCAAAUCAUGAUCAUUUGUAUGAUAAAAAUGAUUAUUACUUUUUUUGGAUUACAUGUAUUUAUUUUACCAAUUUGUACAUUACAGAGAAAAGAACUUAGAAAUCACCUUAUCAUGAAAGUGACAAUUAGUUGAAUCGGCCUUUCCCUUCCUGCAAAAUGCCAAGGGAAAUGAUUAUCUAGCUCUCUCAAAACAACACCUCGCAACAUAACAGCAGCAUAUAUAUUAUAUUGCAAAGCUUUAUUCAAGUUAAGAAUUGGUUAUAAUUGUUCAUCUGGCUAGCUACCUAAAUUUUCUGCUUCAAUUGAAAAAGGCCAGGCCAAACCUACUAGUUUUGACUUUCUGAGCAUCACAAGAUUACAGAGCAGCACCGAUACAAUUAUCGCACUUUUACAAAUAGUCUCUAGAAAUGCUAUAUAUAUAUUUGCCCCAUUCGCUCUGUUUCCUUAAUUGUUAUGUGCUGUGAAAAUGAUCUAAUACUUGGAUGAAGCAUGAUAGAACGUCAUUCGAGUGUGAUUUUCCCUUCCAAGAAAAGGGAAGAGCUGAUUCUCAAAGGGCAAACCUUCAAGCUGCAGUUGCAGCUGCCAACUAUUGAAUGGCUUCUUGGCGUAAAACCAUGAGCCUCCGUAUCCGGUUUAUAAUUAGCUAAUUUUAACUUCUGGCCGUAGCAAGAGCUUUACACAUUUUGUUUGCCAAAUGCUAAUAUGUUGCUUUCUGUUUUCUAGCUAUACUUACUUGCGCGUGCAUUUCCAUCGUCUCUUAACUCUUUGCAUGUAGAGCAAGAUGAGCUUCAUCAGAAGUACUGAAAAAUCCCAUUAUCAUUCGAUCGGGCUCGCACGGUUGCCAGAGAAAUAAGAACUCGAUUCGUCGAAGCAUUAAUAAUAAGGAAAGAUGUGGUAGUUUUGUUGAUGCUAAGAGCGGGAAAAGGGCGCGUGCAUUGAUGUUUGGGUCUUUUCUCCGUGAUACGGCCUGUAUUGUAAACAAGGCAUCUUCAUGCACUUCAUUGUACAAACAGAGUGAUGGUGAACAUGUCACAACAAAGAUAAACAAUUGGUGGGUUUCUUUUUUUUUAAUCUCUUUUAAACCUUAUGUUAUUAUGAGAAUAACGUUCUUGUACUUGCAAGGAUGCUCACUUCACCAGAUGCCAUGCAUGAUGCAUGCACCUGGGCCUUGUUUGUUAACCCAGAGCUCGAUCCCAUGCAGGACGGCAAGUUCUCUCUGUACGGUUUUGUUAAUAUUUUGUAGUCAAGACAAGAUGGUGCUCGGCAGAGCCGGCGGUGAUAGUGGUGAGGAGUACGAAUUUGGUUCUUUGUAAUAUUUUAUUUUUAUUUUUAUUUUUCAUGUAUAGACUUAAUGUUGAUGAAACUUGAUUUCUUUUGUUUAGAUGUUCAAGUAAGGAGACCUAUACACAUGUUUUCUCUUAAUCUAUGUUUGUAUUUAGAUUUGGGGAUUGUUAUCUUUU